GACGAACGCUGGCGGCGUGCUUAACACAUGCAAGUCGAACGGAAAGGCCCUGCUUUUGUGGGGUGCUCGAGUGGCGAACGGGUGAGUAGCACGUGAGUAACCUGCCCUUGACUUUGGGAUAACUUCAGGAAACUGGGGCUAAUACCGGAUAGGAGCUCCUGCUGCAUGGUGGGGGUUGGAAAGUUUCGGCGGUUGGGGAUGGACUCGCGGCUUAUCAGCUUGUUGGUGGGGUAGUGGCUUACCAAGGCUUUGACGGGUAGCCGGCCUGAGAGGGUGACCGGCCACAUUGGGACUGAGAUACGGCCCAGACUCCUACGGGAGGCAGCAGUGGGGAAUAUGGCACAAUGGGCGGAAGCCUGAGGCAGCAACGCCGCGUGCGGGAUGACGGCCUUCGGGUUGUAAACCGCUUUCGCCUGUGACGAAGCGUGAGGGACGGGAAUGGGUAAAGAAGCACCGGCUAACUACGU
rnacentral:rRNA from 1 species